rnacentral:lncRNA from 1 species
CCCGAGUCGGCGGCCGCCUGUGGGCGUGGACUGCUGGGACGGUGGGAGGCGGCUAGGUCAGCUGUUGUUUGCCGACCCGGCGGGCAGUCGAGGGUUGUGAGGGCUGCCUGGGCCCUGUGGGCGGUGCCGGGGAAUCGCGCGCUGACACACGCAGGCUCCCUGGGAGGCGUGAUCCUCGGCAGCACUUUACAAGGUUUUCAUCGAAAAUCGUUCCCCACGUUCCACCAAGUAGCCCAGUUCGGGGACAGCUGUAUUCAUAGGAAGGCUGUACUAAGACCAUGGCAGCGGUACAAAGAGAAUUGGCAGGACUUGCUGAUCACUGAUGAGAGGAUGAAGGAAAGAAAGAAGUGGAGGAUGACUUCACAGUUUUGAGUAUGAGUGGAAGUAACACCAUUGAUCUAGAACAAGAGCACAAGAAUUGAAUUUGAGGUUGAAUGCGUUUGAAAUACUUGUUGAAUAUUCUCAUAGAAAUAUCUGGUAGAGCACUGGAAGGGUGCAUCUGGAAUUCAAAUGAGCAAAUAGUCUGGAAAUAAAGAUCUGGAGUCACUGACUUAUAAGUAGUAC